rnacentral:lncRNA from 1 species
UCUCACUCUAUAACCAGUCUGGAGUGCAGUGGCAUGAUCUUGGCUCACUGCAACCUGUGCCUACUGGGUUCAAGUGAUUCUCCUGCCUCAGCCUCCUGAGUAACUGGGACUAUAGGCAUGUGCCACCACACCCACCUAAUUUUUGUAUUUUUAGUGGAGACGGGGUUUCACCAUGUUGGCCAGGAUGGUCUCAAUCUCUUGACCUCGUGAUCCACAUGCCUUGGCCUCCCAAAGUGCUGGGAUUACAGGCAUGAGCCACUGCACCCAACUGGUGGAAGAAAUUUCUAAGCAGCAA